rnacentral:rRNA from 1 species
GAGAUGUCCCAUCCGAAAGGAGUAAGACCCCUUGAAGACGACGAGGUAGAUAGGGCAGAGGUGGAAGUGCAGCAAUGCAUGGAGCUGACUGCUACUAAUCGGUCGAGGGCUUGACCUAA